UAAUACGAAGGGAGCUAGCGUUGUUCGGAAUUACUGGGCGUAAAGGGCGCGUAGGCGGCUCUGUAAGUCAGAUGUGAAAGCCCCGGGCUUAACCUGGGAACUGCAUUUGAUACUGCAGAGCUAGAGAUCGAGAGAGGAAAGUGGAAUUACGAGUGUAGAAGUGAAAUUCGUAGAUAUUCGUAGGAACACCGGUGGCGAAGGCGACUUUCUGGCUCGAUACUGACGCUAAAGCGCGAAAGCGUGGGGAGCAAACAGGAUUAGAUACCCUGGUAGUCCACGCUGUAAACGAUGAGUGCUAGAUGUUAGGAGGGUAACCUUUUAGUGUCGCAGCUAACGCAAUAAGCACUCCGCCUGGGGAGUACGGUCGCAAGAUUAAAACUUAAAUGAAUUGACGG
rnacentral:rRNA from 1 species